UACGGGGGGGGCAAGCGUUGUUCGGAAUUACUGGGCGUAAAGGGCUCGUAGGUGGCCAACUAAGUCAGACGUGAAAUCCCUCGGCUUAACCGGGGAACUGCGUCUGAUACUGGAUGGCUUGAGUUCGGGAGAGGGAUGCGGAAUUCCAGGUGUAGCGGUGAAAUGCGUAGAUAUCUGGAGGAACACCGGUAGCGAAGGCGGCAUCCUGGACCGACACUGACACUGAGGAGCGAAAGCCAGGGGAGCAAACGGG
rnacentral:rRNA from 1 species